rnacentral:rRNA from 1 species
CCUACGGGUGGCAGCAGUGGGGAAUCUUCCGCAAUGGGCGAAAGCCUGACGGAGCAACGCCGCGUGAACGAAUGAAGGCCUUCGGGUUGUAAAGAUCUGUUAACAGGGACGAAUAAGCAAUGCGAAUAGUUUUGUGUAUGACGGUACCUGUUUAGAAAGCUCCGGCUAACUACGUGCCAGCAGCCGCGGUAAUACGUAGGGAGCAAGCGUUGUCCGGAAUUACUGGGCGUAAAGGGCGCGUAGGUGGUUGCUUAAGUCAGGUGUGAAAACUUCGGGCUCAACCGGGAGACUGCACUUGAAACUGGGUGUCUUGAGUGCAGGAGAGGAAGGUGGAAUUCGUGGUGUAGCGGUGAAAUGCGUAGAUAUUAGGAGGAACACCGGUGGCGAAGGCGACUUUCUGGACUGUACCUGACGCUGAGGCGCGAAAGCGUGGGUAGCGAACGGGAUUAGAUACCCUUGUAGUC